ACCUUCGCAAUGCGCGAAAGCGUGACGGGGCUAGUCCGAGUGCCGCCUGCUAAAGGCGGCUUUUCUCGGCUGUAAAUAGGCCGGGGAAUAAGGGGAGGGCAAGUCUGGUGUCAGCCGCCGCGGUAAUACCAGCUCCUCGAGUGGUCGGGACGAUUAUUGGGCCUAAAGCACCCGUAGCCGGUUCCGUAAGUCCUCUGUUAAAUCCAGUCGCUCAACGGCUGGCCUGCAGAGGAUACCGUGGGACUAGGAGGCGGGAGAGGCGGACGGUACUCCGCGUGUAGGGGUAAAAUCCUUUGAUCCGCGGAAGACCACCAGUGGCGAAGGCGGUCCGCCAGAACGCGCUCGACGGUGAGGGGUGAAAGCUGGGGGAGCGAACCGGAUUAGAUACCCGGGUAGUCCCAGCCGUAAACGAUGCGAGCUAGAUGAUUCGAUCGCAGUUCGCGAUCGAAGUGUCGCAGGGAAGCCGUUAAGCUCGCCGCCUGGGGAGUACGGUCGCAAGGCUGAAACUUAA
rnacentral:rRNA from 2 species